rnacentral:rRNA from 1 species
GACGAACGCUGGCGGCGUGCCUAAUACAUGCAAGUAGAACGCACAGGAUGCACCGUAGUUUACUACACCGUAUUCUGUGAGUUGCGAACGGGUGAGUAACGCGUAGGUAACCUGCCUGGUAGCGGGGGAUAACUAUUGGAAACGAUAGCUAAUACCGCAUAAGAACAUUUACUGCAUGGUAGAUGUUUAAAAGGUGCAAAAGCAUCACUACCAGAUGGACCUGCGUUGUAUUAGCUAGUUGGUGAGGUAACGGCUCACCAAGGCAACGAUACAUAGCCGACCUGAGAGGGUGAUCGGCCACACUGGGACUGAGACACGGCCCAGACUCCUACGGGAGGCAGCAGUAGGGAAUCUUCGGCAAUGGGGGGAACCCUGACCGAGCAACGCCGCGUGAGUGAAGAAGGUUUUCGGAUCGUAAAGCUCUGUUGUUAAGGAAGAACGUGUGUGAGAGUGGAAAGUUCACACAGUGACG